rnacentral:lncRNA from 1 species
GUUCUUUGUAGCUUAUAAUUGUUAUAUUUGCUCAUCUAGGAGUUUCAACAUUCUUCUUCUUCCUUUUUAAUCACCUUGUAAAGGUUUGUUGGUGAGCCCGUAAAACCAACGGUGUAGGUUUAUUGGUGAACCCAUAAAACCAAUUGUGAAGGUUCGUUGGUGAGCCCGUAAAACCAACAUAGGUUAUUGGUGAUCCCGGAAAACCAAAGUGUAAAGAUUUUUGGAUUGUGAGCCCGGAAAACAAUCCAACUGUAAUCCGAGGGAUUAUAGUGAAUUCCCAAGGGAUCGCUUGGGGAGUGGACGUAGGUACUUAGGAGAGCACCGAACCACUAUACUUCUUGUGUGUUUGUAUUGUGCAUUGUUCUAAUUUCACUCACUCAUCAAUUGACUAAAGAAAGAUAGUAAAAAAAUUCAAGAGAAACCAAUUCACCCCCCCCCUCUUGGCUUAUCACCUUGGGCAACACUCAUGUUGGUUCACUCUCGACUUGAUUGAGGGGGUUUUAGUUUAGGUCUCAUUUGGAUUGGUCUAAUAGUUUGC